rnacentral:rRNA from 1 species
CGCGUAGGCGGCCUGGUAAGUCUGGAGUGAAAGUCCUGCUUUUAAGGUGGGAAUUGCUUUGGAUACUGCUGGGCUUGAGUGCAGGAGAGGUAAGUGGAAUUCCCGGUGUAGCGGUGAAAUGCGUAGAGAUCGGGAGGAACACCAGUGGCGAAGGCGACUUACUGGACUGUAACUGACGCUGAGGCGCGAAAGCGUGGGGAGCAAACA